rnacentral:rRNA from 1 species
UCCUCAUGUAAUAAUUUGAGGUAUGGCCUGCUCAAUGCAAUGUGUAAAUAGCCGCAGUACUCUGACUGUGCAAAGGUAGCAUAAUAAAUUGGCCUUUAAUUGAGGUCUAGAAUGAAUGGCUCGACAAGGAUUUAACUGUCUUAAAAUAAAAAUUUUUGAAAUUGAAUUGUCUGUAAAAAUGCAGACAUAUAAGAGAGGGACGAGAAGACCCUAUAGAUCUUUAAAUGAAUUGUUUAAUAAAUUAGAUUAGAUAAUUCUUUUUAUUUGGGGAAAAUCCUGAAAUAAAUUGAAAACAAACUUCGGUUAAUAGAAUGAUAAAAAUUUUGAAAAUUGAUUCUAGAUCCACUAGGAAGUGAGAAAAUGAAAAAGUUACCUUAGGGAUAACAGGACAAUGAUCUUUUAUAAGAGACCUUAUCUUAAAAGACGUUUGUUACCUCGAUGUUGAAUUAAGUUAUCUAGUUAAAGUAGGAAUUAAUAGAGUUGGUCUGUUCGACCAUUAAAAAC